AGUGAACGCUGGCGGUAGGCCUAACACAUGCAAGUCGAACGGCAGCACAGUAAGAGCUUGCUCUUACGGGUGGCGAGUGGCGGACGGGUGAGGAAUACAUCGGAAUCUACUUUUUCGUGGGGGAUAACGUAGGGAAACUUACGCUAAUACCGCAUACGACCUACGGGUGAAAGCAGGGGAUCUUCGGACCUUGCGCGAUUGAAUGAGCCGAUGUCGGAUUAGCUAGUUGGCGGGGUGAAGGCCCACCAAGGCGACGAUCCGUAGCUGGUCUGAGAGGAUGAUCAGCCACACUGGAACUGAGACACGGUCCAGACUCCUACGGGAGGCAGCAGUGGGGAAUAUUGGACAAUGGGCGCAAGCCUGAUCCAGCCAUACCGCGUGGGUGAAGAAGGCCUUCGGGUUGUAAAGCCCUUUUGUUGGGAAAGAAAAGCAGCAGGUUAAUACCCCGCUGUUCUGACGGUACCCAAAGAAUAAGCACCAGCUAACUUCGUG
rnacentral:rRNA from 1 species